rnacentral:lncRNA from 1 species
AGAACGGUGAUGUUUGGUUUCAUCUUGUUCACGAUAGCCAAGAAUCACUGAAACAACUCAUCGGCAGACUCACCAGGCAAAUGAACAAAAUUCUCAUACUCACAACUGUAGGUCUCAAAGAACCUAGCCUUCACUUGGUUGUUUCCCUGAUGGAAACUCUGAAGUCGGGACCAAAUCUCAAGAGUAAGAGUGAGAUCCUCGACUCGAUCGAACUCAACACGACUCAGACUCGCAAACAGGAUAUCCACCGCCUUGUUGUUGGUGUGAUACGUAUCUCUGUCAUCUUGAGUCACACGAGUCACAGGAAUCACAUAGUUCACAUCCUGAGUGAUUUCCCAAACC